rnacentral:rRNA from 1 species
GACGAACGCUGGCGGCGCGCUUAACACAUGCAAGUCGAGCGAUGAAAUCUUAACAGAACCCUUCGGGGCGAAGAUAAGACGGAUUAGCGGCGGACGGGUGAGUAACACGUGAGUAACCUGCCUUUUACACAGGGAUAGCCUCGGGAAACCGGGAUUAAAACCUGAUGAAACUAUCAAAUCACAUGAUUAAGAAAGUUAAAACUCCGGUGGUAAAAGAUGGACUCGCGUCCCAUUAGCUAGUUGGUGAAGGUAACGGCCCACCAAGGCAACGAUGGGUAGCCGGCCUGAGAGGGUGAACGGCCACAUUGGAACUGAGAAACGGUCCAAACUCCUACGGGAGGCAGCAGUGGGGAAUAUUGCACAAUGGGGGAAACCCUGAUGCAGCGACGCCGCGUGAGCGAAGAAGGCCUUCGGGUCGUAAAGCUCUUUUAUAUGGGAAGAUAAUGACGGUACCAUAAGAAAAAGCCCCGGCUAACUACGUGCCAGCAGCCGCGGUAAUACGUAGGGGGCUAGCGUUGUCCGGAAUCACUGGGCGUAAAGGGUUCGCAGGCGGCAAUGCAAGUCAGAUGUAAAAGGCAAAGGCUCAACCUUUGUAAGCAUCUGAACUGUAUAGCUUGAGAAGUGUAGAGGCAAGUGGAAUUUUUAGUGUAGCGGUGAAAUGCGUAGAUAUUAAAAAGAAUACCGGUGGCGAAGGCGACUUGCUGGGCACAAUCUGACGCUGAGGAACGAAAGCGUGGGGAGCAAACAGG